rnacentral:rRNA from 1 species
UAGGACUCCGUGGCUUCAUGGUUGGGGGUGUAAAGCUUUUGCGGUGUGGGAUGGGCCCGCGGCCUAUCAGCUUGUUGGUGGGGUAAUGGCCUACCAAGGCGACGACGGGUAGCCGGCCUGAGAGGGUGACCGGCCACACUGGGACUGAGAUACGGCCCAGACUCCUACGGGAGGCAGCAGUGGGGAAUAUUGCACAAUGGGCGCAAGCCUGAUGCAGCGACGCCGCGUGAGGGAUGACGGCCUUCGGGUUGUAAACCUCUUCAAUAGGGACGAAGCGCAAGUGACGGUACCUAUAGAAGAAGGACCGGCCAACUACGUG